AGAGUUUGAUCAUGGCUCAGAUUGAACGCUGGCGGAAUGCUUUACACAUGCAAGUCGAACGGCAGCAUAGGUGCUUGCACCUGAUGGCGAGUGGCGAACGGGUGAGUAAUACAUCGGAACGUGCCCAGUCGUGGGGGAUAACGUAGCGAAAGUUACGCUAAUACCGCAUACGAUCUACGGAUGAAAGCGGGGGACCGUAAGGCCUCGCGCGAUUGGAGCGGCCGAUGUUAGAUUAGGUAGUUGGUGGGGUAAAGGCUCACCAAGCCGACGAUCUAUAGCUGGUCUGAGAGGAUGAUCAGCCACACUGGGACUGAGACACGGCCCAGACUCCUACGGGAGGCAGCAGUGGGGAAUUUUGGACAAUGGGCGCAAGCCUGAUCCAGCCAUUCCGCGUGCAGGACGAAGGCCUUCGGGUUGUAAACUGCUUUUGUACAGAACGAAAAGCUUUGGGUUAAUACCCUGGGGUCAUGACGGUACUGUAAGAAUAAGCACCGGCUAACUACGUGACAGCAGCCGCGGUAAU
rnacentral:rRNA from 1 species